rnacentral:rRNA from 1 species
UACAGAGGUCCCAAGCGUUGUUCGGAUUCACUGGGCGUAAAGGGUGCGUAGGCGGUCGGGUAAGUCUGUCGUGAAAUCCCCGGGCUCAACCUGGGAAUUGCGAUGGAGACUGCACGGCUAGAAUCUGGCAGAGGGGGGUAGAAUUCCACGUGCAGCAGUGAAAUGCGUAGAUAUCGUGAGGAACACCAGAGGCGAAGGCGGUUACCUGGACAGUUACUGACGCUCAGGCACGAAAGCGUGGGGAGCAAAAGGG